AUGGCUGGCGGUUUUAGAGUGCUGCAUCUUGUCAGGCCCUUUCUGGGUUUCUUACCGGAAGUACAGAGUGCUGAUAGGAGAAUUCCUUUCAGAGAAAAACUCAUCUACACUGUUAUUUCCCUCUUCAUUUUCCUAGUGUGCAGCCAGCUCCCGCUCUAUGGCAUCCAUUCAACUACUGGAGCUGACCCUUUCUACUGGUUGCGUGCUAUUCUUGCAUCAAACCGUGGUACUGUUAUGGAGCUGGGUAUCACUCCAAUUGUGACAUCUGGAAUGGUGAUGCAACUUCUGGUAGGAUCAAAGAUCAUUGAAGUUGACAACAGUGUGAGAGAGGAUCGUGCACUUCUGAAUGGUGCACAAAAGUUGCUUGGUAUCCUGAUUGCUAUUGGAGAAGCUGUGGCAUAUGUCUUGUCUGGAAUGUAUGGCAGUGUAAGCCAACUAGGAACAGGGAAUGCUAUUCUCAUUAUACUUCAGCUUUUCUUUGCUGGCAUCAUUGUCAUCUGUCUGGAUGAACUUCUCCAGAAAGGAUAUGGUUUGGGUUCUGGCAUCUCUCUAUUCAUCGCUACCAACAUCUGUGAGAAUAUCAUCUGGAAGGCGUUUAGCCCCACAACCAUCAACAGCGGACGUGGUGCUGAAUUUGAAGGGGCUGUCAUUGGAUUGUUCCAUCUGUUGAUUACCAGAACUGACAAAGUCCGUGCCCUACGGGAGGCUUUCUACCGCCAGAAUCUUCCAAACGUGACCAACUUACUUGCUACUGUCCUGGUCUUCCUCAUUGUUAUCUAUUUCCAAGGCUUCCGUGUUGUGCUUCCAGUGAGAUCAAGGAAUGCCCGUGGGCAGCAGGGUUCAUAUCCAAUUAAACUGUUUUACACAUCAAAUAUGCCCAUCAUUCUGCACUCUGCACUGAUUACCAACCUCUACUUUAUAUCUCAGCUUCUUUACAAGAAGUUCAGUGGCAACUUCUUGGUUAACCUUCUCGGUAUAUGGAAGGAAUCUGAGUAUUCAGGCCAUUCUAUCCCCGUUGGUGGUCUUGCAUACUAUGUAACUGCCCCAUCAAGUUUGGCUGAUGUUGUCGCAAAUCCAUUCCAUGCGCUGUUCUAUGUGGUCUUCAUGCUGUCAGCUUGCGCUCUCUUCUCAAAGACAUGGAUUGAAGUUUCGGGUUCGUCAGCGAGGGAUGUUGCUAGGCAGCUCAAGGAACAACAAAUGGUGAUGCCAGGCCAUCGCGAGUCAAACUUGGAGAGGGAGUUGAACAGAUACAUCCCCACUGCUGCUGCAUUUGGAGGAGUCUGCAUUGGCGCGCUGACUGUCCUAGCUGAUUUCAUGGGUGCAAUCGGUUCAGGAACCGGUAUACUGCUCGCUGUCACCAUCAUAUACCAAUACUUCGAGACGUUCGAGAAGGAAAGGGCGACCGAGCUUGGUUUCUUCGGCUUCUGA
rnacentral:rRNA from 1 species